rnacentral:rRNA from 1 species
GGGAAUAUUGGACAAUGGGGGCAACCCUGAUCCAGCCAUGCCGCGUGAGUGAAGAAGGCCCUCGGGUUGUAAAGCUCUUUUGUCCGGAAAGAAAAGCUUCGGGUUAAUACCCCGGGGUUCUGACGGUACCGGAAGAAUAAGAACCGGCUAACUUCGUGCCAGCAGCCGCGGUAAUACGUAGGGUGCAAGCGUUAAUCGGAAUUACUGGGCGUAAAGCGUGCGCAGGCGGUUUUGUAAGACAGAGGUGAAAUCCCCGGGCUCAACCUGGGAACUGCCUUUGUGACUGCAAAGCUGGAGUGCGGCAGAGGGGGAUGGAAUUCCGCGUGUAGCAGUGAAAUUCGUAGAUAUGCGGAGGAACACCGAUGGCGAAGGCAAUCCCCUGGGCCUGCACUGACGCUCAUGCACGAAAGCGUGGGGAGCAAACA